rnacentral:rRNA from 1 species
GAUGAACGCUGGCGGCGUGCCUAAUACAUGCAAGUCGAGCGAACGGACGAGAAGCUUGCUUUUCUGAUGUUAGCGGCGGACGGGUGAGUAACACGUGGAUAACCUGCCUAUAAGACUGGGAUAACUUCGGGAAACCGGAGCUAAUACCGGAUAAUAUUUUGAACCGCAUGGUUCAAAAGUGAAAGACGGUCUUGCUGUCACUUAUAGAUGGAUCCGCGCUGCAUUAGCUAGUUGGUAAGGUAACGGCUUACCAAGGCAACGAUGCAUAGCCGACCUGAGAGGGUGAUCGGCCACACUGGAACUGAGACACGGUCCAGACUCCUACGGGAGGCAGCAGUAGGGAAUCUUCCGCAAUGGGCGAAAGCCUGACGGAGCAACGCCGCGUGAGUGAUGAAGGUCUUCGGAUCGUAAAACUCUGUUAUUAGGGAAGAACAUAUGUGCAAGUAACUGUGCACAUCUUGACGGUACCUAAUCAGAAAGCCACGGCUAACUACGUG